AGGGAUCAGAACCACCAUGAAUUCCACUUAAGAAAAACAAGCUUUGAAGCACUUAGCUUCUAUGGCCUGAUCUCAUCAUGCACUUUUAUCAAUUAUAUUUCCCAUGCAUAGUCUACUUCUUUUUAAUAACCUUCUAAAGGAAGUAAGUGAAAGAGAUUAUUUAUCAUUUGUGUAAGUUUAUUGUCUCUGUUGUUUUGCAUAAACAUUGUAAUCAUGGAAGUUUUACUGUCAUGGGAGCUUGAGAUAGUGCUUAAUAUUAUACUCUGAUUCAUAGGUUUCGGAUUCGGGUUGCAUUUGUUGUUCAUUAUAUCUGCAAUUAUGGAUACUGUUUGAUGUGUCAUUGAAGUCAUUUUUGGGUAAAUUUAUACGCUCAUGAUUUGUUCCUAAAUAUAAUGACUACCAAUUUCAGUUCUUAUAAUUGGAUAGAUAUUUUUAAAUGG
rnacentral:lncRNA from 1 species